AGAAAUUGGAGUGUAUUUGAGCAUUAAGAAAAGAAAUCAGCUAUUUCAAGAACGCUUGGACAAAUUGGUUUAUUUGAAGUACAAUAGAGCUUUGCUACGCCGAUACACCUUUGGAGAUAUCACCAUGCCAAUUGAUUUAGCAAAUAUUGAUGAAAGUAAUGAGUGGUUGCUUAGUGAAUUAGAAAAAGGAGAUGGGGAUGAUGAUGAUGAUACUCUUGUUUUCAUGGAUGAUGUAUUGACUUGGGGUGAUGUUGGUAGG
rnacentral:misc_RNA from 1 species